AGCAAAGCACUGAAAAUGCUUAGAUGGAUUGUCAAAAAUCCCAUAAACA
rnacentral:tRNA from 1 species